rnacentral:rRNA from 1 species
AUGUACCCGAAGCCGGAGGACGGCCCGGCGACGGGGUUCCCGAUGAGCGGCGGCACGGCCCGCACGGGCGGCGGGCCGGGCGCGUACUACCAGGCGGCGCCGGCGACGGCGGCGUUCGCGAUGCAGGCGGCGCAGGCGCCGCUGGCGGCGUGGUCGACGGGGCUGUGCGACUGCUUCGACGACUGCGGCAACUGCUGCAUCACGUGCCUGUGCCCGUGCAUCACGUUCGGGCAGGUGGCGGAGAUCAUCGACCGCGGGUCGACGUCGUGCGGGGCGAGCGGCGCGCUCUACGCGCUCAUCAUGCUGCUCACGGGGUGCCAGUGCGUCUACUCCUGCUUCUACCGCGCCAAGAUGCGCGCCCACUACGGCCUCCAGGAGAGCCCCUGCGCCGACUGCUGCAUCCACUGGUGCUGCGAGCCAUGCGCGCUCUGCCAGGAGUACCGCGAGCUCAAGAAGAGAGGCUUCGACAUGAACCUCGGAUGGCACGCCAACAUGGAGAGGCAAGGACGCACCCCGGCGACCAUGCCGCCCCUCAUGCACCCAGGGAUGACCCGUUGA